GAAGGUGACCUUGUUCGAAAGGCAAUAAAUGGAAAAUAGUGGAGAGGAAGCUGUACGAUAAUAAGGAUCUACCAUCUCACUUCAAAGAUGUCUGACGAGGACAGUGUGCUUAGCAGCAGCCCUGUGUUCUUUUUUGAGAAUGCCCCUGAGUCAACACCACCACCACAAAAUUUGAUUAAUUUGAUGUUCCAUGUUUGAUGUUUGAGUUCCAUUUCAGAUUACUCUGUGGGAUCAAAUGAACGGGCGUGUAUGUACUAACAUAUAACUAUAUUUAGUUAUUAUUAAUUACAAGUAUCUUUUUCAGCUAAUACACGGGUGCCACCGCAGAUUCCUGAAUGUGAGUAAAGUUAUAGGCUUCGAUAUAGUUUAUGAUAAUAAAUGAGAUUCUCUUUCAGAUUAUUGGGGUCCUGUGACACCGCAUUA